UGUUAGGUCACCUCCCGGGAUUUAGUCACCUCCCAGGUUUAGGACUCUUUCGACAUUGCAUUUUGAUGAUCUUGUUUACAAGCUGUCUCCCCUCCACCCCAGUCAGUGCGUUCUCUGAAGACAAGGACUGCAGUAUGCCCAUCUUCUGUCCCUGACACCCAGCCCAGAAGGUGGCAAGUGGCCGGGUAAACAUUUAAUGGGCAACUCCUGCGGCUCAGAACACGAUACCCUGAAGUUUGGUGCUUUGGAGGGCCAAGUACUUUGAACUGAAGACUGGAAAGGCUUGAGAAGCAAGGUCUCUCUAACCUGCUCCUACCCUCCUGUCUCCUGCCUCUUUUUCUUCCCCGAAGAAAGAACGUGGCUCAGAUGGAUCUGCUAGAGGAAAUGCACCAGGAAAUCCCGAGCAGGGUGCAAUCAGUCACCAUUAAUGUUCACAAGUAUCAGAGCUACUUGAAGAAAUACAGCUACUUAUGGAUGGACGAUAAAAUUGAAUUCAUGAAGCAGUUCCUUCUCCAUGGGUGAUUUCUUGGUGCUGAAGAACCAGAAUUGCAUGCAGACUGUGAGUGUCAGAACUCUACACUGCAGUUAGCACACUUUAAAGAACAGGUAUUGAAUUUUAGCUGAGUCUAGCAUCAUCUUUUUCAAUUCCCUGGACAGCUGUUAAAUCAUGAAAUAUUUUGAUAUAUAAAGCUCUUGCCUCUGAGAGGUCUUUCCUUUUUUUUUUAAGAUAACAUCUAUGAAAUAUUAUGUGAAGAAGUUGAUAACUUUAAAAACCAGAAGAUAUUUAGUGGCUAGCUUCAAGUUGAUAUUAAACGUUUUAAAAAUCAAUGAUGAAUGUUAUAAAAAAAAUAGGGUUUGAUGUUUAAGAAGCAUCUGCUUACCCAUGUAACCUGCAGGUAGCGUAAUUUGAAUCUGAUUGUGAAAGGAAAUUAAAAUAACACAAAUCAUUUGAUGAAACCACCCUCAUAGAAUUCUAAUUUAACUCAAAUAGUAAGUAUUUUAAUGGUUCUCCUGUGUGCUUAUUUUUAAUCUCAUAUUCUGUAAGUUACAAGAGAGUUGCUUUCAUGCAUGUGAAUUAUAAUUCUCUUCUUGUAAAAACUUGACACAAUGCUUAUCCAUUUGAUUUGAUUGCAUUUGCGUGUUCAUUAAUAUAAUUGAAACAUGUAGCUUCCCCCAAGUUUUCACAGGCUCAUCCCUAAUUAACUGUUGGCAUUUUCUCACAUUAUAUGUUAGUGUAACUGAGUAAGGGCAAUUUAUUGAUGAAAUAGGAAAAGGUCGGGCAGAGGAAGGGAAGGGAGUGUUCAGCCAGGGAGGAUUCAGCCCGGUAGGACUGACUGGGGAUCUGUGGGCAGCUGGACAGCCCCAAAAAAUGGCCCCUGAAAUCUCUGCUAUUUUAACUGCUCAACUGAAGCUUCCAGAGAGAUUUAUAUGGACAUAAGUGAUAUGGACUCAAAAAAGAGGGUUUAUCUCUGAGAGAUAGUAGGUAUUACUUUUCCCCAGCUUGGCUCCAAACCACAAAUCAAAGGGGGACUCAUGGUCUUCUAAGUAUGCUCUAUGUAUUUACAGGGUAUUUUUAAAGAUUUAAAGAUUUAAUAGAAAGGUCUGUGAACUUGGAAGGAGAAAACAGAGGCUCUAAUCUUUGCUUAGCCAUUUUUGAGCACUGUGAUCGUACAUGGGUGAGAGUUAAUCUGAGUGCAUUUUCUCACAGCGCUGCUGUGGAGUUUACAUGUAAGUUAGUUACUCAGUCUGUCUUGAUGGCGUCAAUCAGUAUAUGCUUGUUGAAACACAAGGCUUUUUUUUUUUUUUAAAGAAAUCGAAGGUAGGGAAUAAAAUGCACAAAGGAGGUGGUCAAUAAAAUGGACAAGUGAGAUUUAAAUGGAGAUGAUUUUUCAAAUUAAAUGUUUAAAACCCUAUUUUUUCUCCUUCCCCUAAAACUCUAUUUUUGUCCUUUACAGGUUAAUGUGGGAAUAUCUGACUGAAAAGAAUUAAGAAACCUCCUCUACCCUUAUUUUCACUUUUGCUUUAUUCCCCUUUCUCUGUACAAUAGAAUUGUUAUACUAACUGGCUAUAUUAACAAAAUCAGUGAGAUAAAUUCAUAGCAAUCUAGAAAAUUUUCAUUUUAAAAACUCCACUUUUUAUUUAAUGACAUUAAAUGAAAAGAAUUUGGUUGACAAAUUUGGCAGGCACCCAUUUCUGACAAUAGCUGUGUUCCUUUUACUCUCUUAUUGCAGUCCCAUUAUGUGCUUACAUUCUUUUAGAAGGGCUUGGUUUAAACAAGUGACACAACCAAAGCCCUCUCUGCUCUCAUCCGUGGGGAAGGAAUGCUCCAUCAGGGUAGCUGGUGGCAGCAGGCACAGUCAGAGCAGCCAUUGUCACAGGGAUUCUGCAGGUGAGGAGGACAGGAUGCAAUGUGGCAGGGCUGGGCCCAGUGAAGGACAAUCAUCAGGAUCACACACACAGUGUCCUCCAUGGAGACUAGCUUCUCCUGCACAGCAACUACCUUCUUAUGUAGAUCUGAAGUUGUUGAAAAUCGGAAUCAGCAGGUGUCUUUGGAGGAGCUCUGCCCUUCGAGGAGAGCUUGCCACUGCUUGUGAAAGGCCGAGGCUAACAAAGCUGAGCUUUCCGUCAUGUGGUGUCUCCCCUACCCUGGAAAACUCCAUGAGUUAACCAUCUUUUCCAUAUAGAGAGGCUGUAGAUAAAUAGGAAGUGGUAAAAUCAGCUAAGUAACCUAUUGUGGGUCAUACAAUAGUAAAUGACCGGUUUGUUUCAUAUUUUAUCUGCUUUGGUACCUUGCAGACAUGGUGCAAUUAGGAAACUCCCUACUGUAUAUGUAAGUAUAUCACAAACAACAAAGAAAUCUCUCCUUAUGCUUAAGAUCAACUAGACUCUAUAACUAAAAAUAUAUUUUAAGAUCUUCAUCUGAACUGUGGCAUAGGUCAUUUGAAUGAAGCCCAGUUUGGAAAGGAGUCUCACUAAAAGUUGGGGGGCGGGGAGCCUGGCGUAUUUGCACAAGUAUCUUCUAAAAUAAUUAAUAGCAAAGCAUUCAUGUCACAUUGCUGGCUCCUCUAACAACCAUCAUAUUUUCCUCACUUUGUUUGUCUGCAGUAACUGUUUCAUGUGUAUUACAUUGAAUUAAAUAUUUAUUCGGGAAAAAAAUGCCCAGAGGAAAGUAGAGAUUAAUAGCUGACAAAGUUGCCAGAAUGUCAUGGAUUGAUUAUUCAGGAAUUCAAACUCAGUUCUUGAAUCUAUAAAUUGUUUGUGGGAUCUAGGUUUUUUUUUUCCCUUCUGUUUUUUAUUUUAUUUACCAAAUUUGCUUGCCUCAGAUUCACAGGAGCAGAAGAAGCUGUACAGUUAUAGAACCCCAAACUGGUAUUUCUCAAUUUUUGUUUCAUGUGAUAUGAAGAAUGUGAAAGAAUUUGGAUCACCAAGAAAUGGAACUAUAAACAAGGCUUAAUGUAGGGAGGAAAGGAGAAGAAGGAAACCAUAGGCCCUUUAGAGUCAGGGAUUUUGACAAGGCUGAUGUAGAAUGCUGAUGGAAGCUUGUGUCAACUUGCCUGGGCUAAGGGAUGCCCAGAUGAUUGGUAAAGCAUUAUGUCUGGGUAUGUCUGUGAAGGUGUUUCCAGAAGGGAUUUGCAUUGGAAUGAGUGGGCUGAAUAGGGAGAUCUGUCCUCACCCAGUGUAGGUGGACACCAUCCAGUUGUCUGAGGGUCCAGAUAGAACAAAAAGGCAGAGGAAAGGCAAAUUUGCUCUCUCUUCUGGACCUGGGACACCCUUCUUCUCCUGCCUUUGCAUAUCAUAACCCCAGGCUCUCUGGCCUUCGAACCCUGGGACUUGCACUAGUGUCUCCUCCCCACCAGAGUUCUUGGGUCUUUGGCCUCAGACCAACAAUCAUACCAUUGGCUUUCUUGGUUCUCAGGCUUUGGACUUGGACAGAGCUAUGCUACCAGCUUCCCUGGUUCUCCAGCUUACAGACAGCCAAUUGUGGAACUUCUCAGCCUCCAUAAUUUCAUCAGUCAUCUCCUCUAAUAAAUCCAUUCUCUCCUAUCUAUCUAUCUAUCUAUCUAUCUAUCUAUCUAUCUAUCUAUCUAUCUAUCUAUCUAUCUCUAUCUAUC